rnacentral:rRNA from 1 species
UGCCCGUGACGUCGCGAGAAGUCCACUGAACCUUAUCAUUUAGAGGAAGGAGAAGUCGUAACAAGGUUUCCGUAGGUGAACCUGCGGAAGGAUCAUUGUCGAAACCUUUACCCCGCCAGAGUGACCCGCGAACACGUUACAACACUCGGGGGCGAGGGGUGCUAACACCUCCCCGGACCCUCUUUGCCGGGUGCGUGUGGCCUCGCCCCGUGCCGUCGGCACCAAACGAACCCCGGCGCGGAAUGCGUCAAGGAAACACAACGGGACGAGCAUCGCACCCGAGGGCCCCGAGAUACGGUGCUUGCCCCGGUCGAUGCUCCGCUAUCAGUUGGAGUCUAAAAACGACUCUCGGCAACGGAUAUCUCGGCUCUCGCAUCGAUGAAGAACGUAGCGAAAUGCGAUACUUGGUGUGAAUUGCAGAAUCCCGUGAACCAUCGAGUCUUUGAACGCAAGUUGCGCCCGAAGCCAUCAGGUUGAGGGCACGUCUGCCUGGGCGUCAAACACCGUUGCCCCCCUCUAACCCCGACCCAUUUGCAGCCGUGUGCGAGUGGGCCCCCAGGGGGGCGGAUGAUGACCUCCCGUUAGCUCUUUGCUCGGCGGUUGGUCCAAAAUCGAGUCCUCGGUCACUUCGUCGUGGCAACAGGUUGUCGAUCAUUCGGUGCCCCGUCACGUGCGUCGGACACGCAUCGAGACUCAGAUAGGCCCCAACGCGCCAGUCGGUGGUGCUCCCAACGCGACCCCAGGUCAGGCGGGGCUACCCGCUGAGUUUAAGCAUAUC